rnacentral:rRNA from 1 species
GAUGAACGCUGGCGGCGUGCCUAAUACAUGCAAGUCGAGCGAACGGACGAGAAGCUUGCUUCUCUGAUGUUAGCGGCGGACGGGUGAGUAACACGUGGAUAACCUACCUAUAAGACUGGGAUAACUUCGGGAAACCGGAGCUAAUACCGGAUAAUAUUUUGAACCGCAUGGUUCAAAAGUGAAAGACGGUCUUGCUGUCACUUAUAGAUGGAUCCGCGCUGCAUUAGCUAGUUGGUAAGGUAACGGCUUACCAAGGCAACGAUGCAUAGCCGACCUGAGAGGGUGAUCGGCCACACUGGAACGGGGACACGGUCCAGACUCCUACGGGAGGCAGCAGUAGGGAAUCUUCCGCAAUGGGCGAAAGCCUGACGGAGCAACGCCGCGUGAGUGAUGAAGGUCUUCGGAUCGUAAAACUCUGUUAUUAGGGAAGAACAUAUGUGUAAGUAACUGUGCACAGCUUGACGGUACCUAAUCAGAAAGCCACGGCUAACUACGUG